rnacentral:lncRNA from 1 species
CUCAUGCUCAGUUAACUGCCUACCAGUAAUAAUUUCAAUGUUUGUCUUUACUGACUGAUUACAUCAUUCUCUGGAGAAUUAAUUUAUUGAUUCAUUGAUGUCUUAUUUAAUAAUGAAAUUACUUUUCAUCCCACUUAGCUGAUUCACUGCAUUUUUGAUUGUCCACUUAUUGAAUUUAUUUGUUUAGCCUUAAUUAGAUUAUUAAUCCUUAAACUUUGCCUGUUUAAUACCACUCUAUUACCUGUGUAUUUUAAUUAUAAUGAGUUUUGCAACCUAAUUGACUCUGUACCUACAUGAUUUUCUCACUUAAUUAAUUGUGUUUAUACGAUUAAUUGGUUGAUUUAUCCACCUCUAUUUAAUCACUGAAUAAUUGUAUCUUUUGCUGGCACUGAGUUAUGUAAUGAUUUAGUAGCCAUAGUCACAUACUACCAAUAUUUGUCCAGAGCAGACCAUGUCUCCUUCAUCUUCCUUACAUUUUUACCUAUCACUACCUCCUCUACCUUUUUAGUGUCCUCACUGUUUCUUUUUUUUUGUUGUUCUUUGUUUGUUUUUUAUUUUAUUCAAAUUAAAUACAUAUUGAUCUUUAACAUUAUCAAAAUAUCUGUUUAGUAAUGUAAAUUUAAAAAAUAUAAAUUAAAAUUAUUCCCCCCAGGGACAAGCAUGACUACAGAGGAUAAGAAAAAGGCUGAGGUUCUAAUUGCCUUCUUUGUAUCUGUCUUUACCUGCCAGACCACUUAUCCUUGGGGUACUCAGCCUCCUGACCUGGAAGUCUGGGACAACCAGGGGAUCAGGCCCAGUCAGCAUGGGUUCAUGAAAGACCCUACAGAUUCCUGCCUUCUGCUCAUCUGUGAAAGCUCAGCCUGCAAGAAAACAACCCGCUGCUGUUCUUCAAGCUUCCAGCUUUUCUGCUCUCUUCCAUUCUUCACUGAUCAUGUUUUAUUAUGUGACACAGCAUGCAUCACUUUUAGAUAAAUAAAAGAGCAAGUAAAACAGCUCCUUUUCCAAAGACUUUUAAACAUGGAAGAAAAUAUAUAAUGCAUUUAGGCAAACACAAAAAAGGUUUGAUAACAAUUUCACUUAUUCUUCUUUCUUUUCCCAUUUCAGUCUCAUUAUGAUGAGAAUUUAAUCUGCUUUUGUCUUUGCAGAACUUCACAAGCCCUUGCCUUAUCUUGAAAAAGUCAAUAUAUGUUAAAAGCUUUUUUUCAUGAAUAACUAUAUUAAAAAUUAAAAAAUUAACAAGAUCCUUUUUUGUUUGUUUGUUUGUUUUUUGUGAAGCAAAGAACUGAGCACAUGGCUUCACUUUAAUAAAAUCUGAGUGCAUAUCACUUUUUAAUAUUAGUUACAAUUUGUAAAAAAUAAGACAUUUCAGUAAGGAAGGGAGACUAAUGAGUUUUCCUCUGAAUCUUUGAUAGUUCCUGUUAGAAAAGAAUGCAAAUAUUUACUCGUGAAACUGGAGAUGAAGAGAAAACACAUUCCAGACUGGUAAUUCUCGUAGUUCCUCGUAUUAAACAUAUAACACUUUCCUA